GAUGAACGCUGGCGGCGUGCCUAAUACAUGCAAGUCGAACGAGGUGCUUUUGUAGCAAUACGAGAGUAUCCUAGUGGCGAACGGGUGAGUAACGCGUUGGUGACCUACCCCAAAGUGUGGGAUAACAGUCCGAAAGGAUUGCUAAUACCGCAUGUGGCCUUCGGAUUUAGAAACUGAUGACUAAAUGAGCAAUUGGCUUUGGGAGGGACCUGCGUCCCAUCAGCUAGUUGGUGAGGUAAUGGAUCACCAAGGCUACGACGGGUAGGGGACCUGAGAGGGUGACCCCCCACAAUGGAACUGAAACACGGUCCAUACACCUACGGGUGGCAGCAGUAGGGAAUAUUGCACAAUGGGCGAAAGCCUGAUGCAGCAACGCCGCGUGUGCGAUGAAGGCCUUCGGGUCGUAAAGCACUUUUCUGAGGGAUGAGCAAGGACAGUACCUCAGGAAUAAGUCUCGGCUAACUACGUGCCAGCCGCCGCAGUAAAAC
rnacentral:rRNA from 1 species